rnacentral:rRNA from 1 species
AUUGAACGCUGGCGGCAUGCUUUACACAUGCAAGUCGAACGGUAACAGGCCUUCGGGUGCUGACGAGUGGCGAACGGGUGCGUAAUGCAUCGGAACGUGCCCAGAGGUGGGGGAUAACGCAGCGAAAGCUGUGCUAAUACCGCAUGUGAUCUGAGGAUGAAAGCGGGGGACCAAGCAGCAAUGUUUGGCCUCGCGCCUCUGGAGCGGCCGAUGUCAGAUUAGGUAGUUGGUGGGGUAAAGGCCUACCAAGCCGACGAUCUGUAGCUGGUCUGAGAGGACGACCAGCCACACUGGGACUGAGACACGGCCCAGACUCCUACGGGAGGCAGCAGUGGGGAAUUUUGGACAAUGGGCGCAAGCCUGAUCCAGCAAUGCCGCGUGAGGGAAGAAGGCCUUCGGGUUGUAAACCGCUUUUGUACGGAACGAAAAGGCUCUGGCUAAUACCUGGGGCUGAUGACGGUACCGUAAGAAUAAGCACCGGCUAACUACGUG